GACGAACGCUGGCGGCGUGCUUAACACAUGCAAGUCGAGCGAUGAAGCACCUUCGGGUGUGAAUUAGCGGCGAACGGGUGAGGAACACGUGAGAAAUCUGCCUUCAACACUGGGAUAACUCCGGGAAACCGGGGCUAAUACCGGAUAUGAAACCUGCGGGCAUCCGCGGGUUUGGAAAGUUUUUCGGUUGAAGAUGAUCUCGCGGCCUAUCAGCUGGUUGGUGAGGUAAUGGCUCACCAAGGCGACGACGGGUAGCCGGCCUGAGAGGGCGACCGGCCACCCUGGGACUGAGACACGGCCCAGACUCCUACGGGAGGCAGCAGUGGGGAAUAUUGGGCAAUGGAGGAAACUCUGACCCAGCGACGCCGCGUGCGGGAUGAAGGCCUUCGGGUUGUAAACCGCUUUCAGCAGGGAAGAAGCGAAAGUGACGGUACCUGCAGAAGAAGCACCGGCUAACUAUGUGCCAGCCGCCGCGGUAA
rnacentral:rRNA from 1 species